GAUGAACGCUGACAGCAUGCUUAACACAUGCAAGUCAACUGUGGCGGACGGGUGAGUAACGCGUAAAGAACUUGCCUCACAGAUAGGGACAACCUUUGGAAACGAAUGCUAAUACCUGAUACUGUGAGAGAGCUUUGCGUCCGCUUAGCUUGUUGGAGAGGUACCGGCUCACCAAGGCGAUGAUGGGUAGCCGGACUGAGAGGGUGAUCGGCCACAAGGGGACUGAGACACGGCCGUUAGUAAUACGGGAGGCAGAGGUGGGGAAUGUGGGACCAUGGAGCAAAGUCUGAUCCAGCAAUUCUGUGUGCAGGAUGAAGUUUUCGGAAUGUAAAGUGCUUUCAGUUGGGAAGCGGUACCAACAGAAGAAGUGACGGCUAAAUACGUGCCAGCAGCCGCGGUAAUUC
rnacentral:rRNA from 1 species